rnacentral:rRNA from 1 species
AUGUAUGUAUUGUUUGUUUUGCCUGCUCAAAAUGCAAGUAUAGUUGCCAUUUCAGUAUUUCGUAUUCAGAAUCGAGCUGAAGUAUCAAAUCUCUCGUUUACUACAAUGUUGGCACAGGAAGAGUUUGUGGAAGCUUGCAAGAAGGCGACAUCAAGGUCAGACUACUUCCCUCGCUGCCCCGAUGACUAUGCGGAAGUGUACAGCAACCCCUCAAGGAUCAACCGCGAACUAAACUGGACAGCCCAACACAGCCUCAGGAUUGUGUGGACAUGGCAGAAGAAGCACCGGAGCGGCUAUUGGCCACCUCAGGCUAUGAUCAUCGGUUACACAUAA